CGCAGCGGCGCCUGAGGGAGCUCGGCCGCCAUUUUGUGCCUCUCGCUCGGUCCGGGGCGGCCGCGCGGUCGCUGCCGUUCUGAGGGAACGCUCGGCUCUCCUGCCUUGUAGGUCGGGGUGACGCCGCCAUGGGCCGUAAGAAGAAGAAGCAGCUGAAGCCUUGGUGCUGGUACUGUAAUAGGGACUUUGAUGAUGAGAAAAUCCUUAUACAGCAUCAAAAAGCAAAGCACUUUAAAUGCCAUAUAUGUCAUAAGAAACUCUAUACAGGACCUGGUUUAGCUAUACACUGCAUGCAGGUACAUAAAGAAACAAUAGAUGCUGUUCCAAAUGCUAUUCCUGGAAGAACAGACAUUGAACUGGAAAUCUAUGGAAUGGAAGGCAUUCCAGAAAAAGACAUGGAGGAACGGAGGAGGUUACUUGAACAAAAAACUCAGGAGAGCCAGAAAAAGAAACAACAGGAUGAUUCUGAUGAGUAUGAAGAUGAUGAAUCUGCAGCUUCAACUUCAUUUCAACCCCAGCAAGUUCAGCCACAGCAGGGGUACAUUCCCCCAAUGGCACAGCCAGGUUUGCCUCCUGUGCCAGGUGCACCAGGGAUGCCUCCAGGUAUACCCCCAUUAAUGGCAGGUGUUCCACCUAUGAUGCCUGGAAUGCCUCCAGUUAUGCCUGGAAUGCCACCUGGAUUACAUCAACAGAGAAAAUACAUGCAGUCAUUUUGUGGUGGAAACAUGAUGAUGCCAAUGGGUGGAAUGAUGCCUCCUGGGCCUGGAAUCCCACCUCUUAUGCCUGGUAUGCCACCAGGUAGGUCAGGGUUGUCGAACUCGUACUAUGGGAUGCCCCCUCCUGUUGGGCCUCGGCCUGGCAUGCCUCCAAUGACACAAGCACAGCCUGUUACAGCCCCGGGCAUUCUGAACCGGCCUCCAGCUCCUGCUGCAACAGCACCAACUCCACAGCCUCCAGUUACCAAACCACUGUUCCCAAGCGCAGGGCAGAUGGGGACACCUGUCACAAGCUCAAGUGCAGCUUCCUCCAAUUCAGAAAGUCUCUCAGCAUCUUCUAACGCUCUGUUUCCUAGCACAGCACAAGCUGCAGCAGCUGUGCCAGGGCCAGUUGGUACUGAUUUCAAACCUUUGAAUUCUACACCUGCGACAACAACGGAACCCCCCAAACCAACAUUCCCGGCUUACACACAGUCUACAGCCUCAACCACUAGCACAACAAACAGCACUGCAGCUAAACCAGCUACAUCUAUCACAAGUAAGCCUGCUACCCUCACAACAACCAGUGCAACCAGUAAGUUGAUCCAUCCAGAUGAGGAUAUAUCACUGGAAGAGAGAAGGGCACAGUUGCCCAAGUACCAGCGCAACCUUCCUCGACCAGGCCAGGCUGCCCUGGGUAAUCCACCGGUUGGACCAAUUGGAGGUAUGAUGCCACCACAGCCAGGAAUUCCUCCACAGCAACAAGGAAUGAGACCUCCCAUGCCACCUCAUGGUCAGUAUGGUGCUCAUCACCAGGGCAUGCCAGGAUACCUUCCUGGGGCAAUGCCUCCAUACGGUCAGGGACCUCCGAUGGUGCCCCCGUACCAGAGUGGACCUCCUCGCCCUCCCAUGGGAAUGAGACCGCCCGUAAUGUCGCAAGGUGGCCGCUACUGAUGCUCCUACUCACGCUCUAAUAGGUUUUUAGAAGUGAAGUAUAGUAAAUAUGGUUCGUUAAAUUGUGAAGGCGCUGGAAUUACAUGAACAUACCACCUUAAAGCCCUGCCAUAGGACAGGCUGAGGCAGAGUCUCAGUGUUGCCCUGUUCAGUCUGAGGCAAGUGGGAUUUAUUUUAUUCAUUCUGGGGGCUUUCACAGCUUUAUGGCUGUUGGAUAUUUAUGUCCCCAAACUUGCAGCAAGUUUGGUGAAGGCCCCUAAAUUUAUUUUAAUUUAGGUUUUUUAUUCUCUUCUGGUAGAUGGGCUCUAUAUUAAUAUUUCUCUUUUUAUUAUCACUGUGUUUUUAAGAGUCUUAAGGGGGGGGGAACCUGUUUUAAGAUGUGUGGGUACCUUUUCUCUUAAUGGAAUGCAUUUCCUUCAAGGCUGCUCAGGUGGUCCUUAAGACUCCCCAUCCCCAUCUUCCCUGCAUUGCCUUUGUGCUGUAUUUGGUUUUGGGUUUGGUAGUGUUCAUUUUGUGUAGUCUCUGAAUUAGUGGCAUGUAAAUACCAAUUAUUAAUGUUUUCUCUUCUGAGGAUGUGUAUCUAUUGAAAAGCUUAAAAUAGAUUUGAACUAGUAAGUUAAUUGCUACAAUAAUUUGUAGCCCAAAUUACAGAAUACAGUUUCUGAAGAAGGUUAAGGUGUUAAUACUGCUGUGUUUGUGAGCUGCACCUCAACAAAUAUUAAUGUAGAGCCCUGUGAAGAAAUAGAGAUCAGAUCCUCGUUGGUAACACAGAAUAGAAGAGUGAGAAAUCAAAGCUGCAGAUUUUUCGACUUGCCAGUUUCAGGGAGAACCUUUUCCUCAGUCUCUCUUCCCUCAGUUCAGGGAGAACUUCUUCCUCCAUCUCAAAUUCGUCAAAUUUGAAAAUGUUUUGACUCUUGCAACAAUAGUAAGAGUUGAAAAACUUUCUUUUAAACCUUGUGAGAUUCUGUUGCAUAUUCAGAAUUAGCUUUAUUUGAUGUUCCUUCUUUCACGCAGGGUCUAGCAAAAAUUUCUACCCAUAGUGAAGAAAAAGGUGCUGAUUCUGUUGCAGAUCCAUUGUUUGUGAAUGCUUGAGGUUGCUUAAGGAAAGCUUCAGAACAGCUGGUUUUGUAGAAUACAAAACAGCAGUGAAAUAAUAAAUAAACAAAUGUGGGAGUCUGGUUUGACUUUUUUUAAGUUUUUGAAAUAUUUUUCAAGUUUGUGGUGAGGCUUUUUUAUGAACAUAGUUGUUUAUUUCUUCAAGAUUUUGUUUAAUACUGACCCCUAAUGGGAUUUCAAGUAAUUUUAAUUCAAGGAUAGAGUUGUAAUUCACUUAGAGUGGAUUGCACAUUGCUGUUGUACCCUUCUUUGUUUGUACUCUGCCCUUUGCAUUUUUCCUGUAGAAGCCCCCCCCCCAAAUCCUUGUCUGACUGGAAAAUUUACAUGUCCAUGUUAACUGUUUCAGAAUGGUUAUUGAGCAUGGUCUUGCUUUGCUAAUUCUCAUUGUGGUGCUCCCCCUGAUAACAGUGAAGAUGAGAACAACUGUUCAAGAUAAACUACUGCAACUAGUACUUCUUUCACUUGCUUAAUUCAUAGGACCAUUUGGCUUAGUUAUUUUUUCCCUAGAAUGUCUAAGGAAACUGUUUAACUCAAAAUAAUACAUUGUGGGGCUUUGUACUUCUUGCUUAAAGUAUCUGAAUCUCUUAGAGUCUUAAAAUAAAAAAUAGGCAAUUUUGAAAUGCCUCUUUAUUUUGAGGGAUGAAGUGUGAUAUUCCAGUAUUUCAGCUCUCAUUGCAGCAGUUUGUGUUUCACAAAGUUGGACAUCUUGCUGUUAGUGAAAUUUCUUUACAAAGGUAACAGUAUUUCAGUAAUGUGACUUUUAUAGAUAUUAACAAAAGGAGGUCUUGGAAUUCAGGUUUUUGUAAGCUUAAGUAGGGGCACAUAACUUUUUUUAAGGAGCAGGGGUUACUGAUGCUCUGCUAAAUUGGGUAAAUUUGCACCUGAUCUAUUAAACAAGAAAAGUAACUUGGAAACGUGGUAAAUGAAGUACAUACCACACAUGGAGAAUUUAGAAAAAAUCUGUAUGGUUGCAAUCAAAAUGGGUUCUGUAAGAAUGCAGCUGCCUGUGACUGCUCUUCUGUCUAUCAUGGUUGGGCUAAGUUGGAAGUAGUUCAGAGGAAAGAAGAGUUUUGGGGCAGCCAUUUAAGGGAUCAAGAGGAAUCAAAGUGUUUGUAAAGUGUAAUGUAUAUAAAAGUUCUUUCUGAAGUUCUGAAAAACACUUGGGGAGAGGUUUCUGGCACACUGUAAACAGCAGGUUAGUGUGGUCUUGAUUGCCAGAGCACAGAUUCCCAGUAAGGCUCUGUUGAAGGAAAUGCAGUUUUACUGCACUCUUGGGAAGGUGUGGCUGAGGGGCUGAGCCCUGGAGCCUGCUGCUCUGGCAGCCAGACAUAUCCUGGCAUCCUGCUGAGUCAGUUUUGACUGUCCCUGGUAUGAAUAAUUGUCAGGCUUGGUACUUAAAUACCUGGACACUGUGUGAAUAAUGAGGCCCUUGUACCUUCUGAACAAGUUUACAAAACCACCUAAAUUCUUGUGGGCUUUCUUGCAGUAGGGACAGCCAGCAGCACUGCUGUUUUAAUGGCAGUGAAUUUGACUUCUGCAGAAAUACUGUCUUGAACUUACUUAUCUUAAGGUUUUUCUUUCUUGAGGAUAUAAAGAAGUAAAAAAGUUUUGAGGAAAUAGUAGAAUUUUAAUGCCAAUAUCAUCUUAACUGAAAGCAGAGAAGCACAUGGCAUUGAGAGCCUGAAAGCUUUGUUAAAGAUUCUCUUGUUAGCAGUUAAAGUGUGUCUCUGACAGCUAGCUGCCUUAUACAAGCUUCAAACUUCUGACAUCUUAAACUUUCUUUCACUUAAAUUUUGUCUUAAAUCUCUACCAUAUUCAGAAAGGGGGCAUGGGUUGUAGAAUUUCAGCUUCUCCUGCUCUUAGUAGCCACUAUGUAGAAUUGGGUUUUGCUAACAGUAAUUUUAAUUACCUGAAAUGAAUGCAGUACAACAAAAGCAACUAUUUCACCAUUUUCCAACUUAGGAAGUUAUGUAAUGCUUUGAGACAAAGAUGUCAUGGAGAGCUUUUUUCUGUUCUCUUAUUUUCACUUAGUUACUUGCACUGAAUUCUCUAGCUUCUUUCUCAUAAACUUAAGUGGGAAAAAAUACAUUUUUCUCUUUCACUUGUAAAGUCCAGAGUGAGAAAACACACUUUAGGACUUUAAUGAGGAACCUGGUGAUGUAAGUAUUUUAAUUUCCUUUGUUUUUAGUAGGCAACUGGUGACCUGGUUAAACUUAUGGGUUAUGUAUGAAAAAUCACAAGGGCAAACUGAAAGUAGUUUUAUAGUUGCCUUUACUUCACAUGCUUUUCUUAAGCAACAAAUUGCAGUAAUUGAAGUUUGGCAGCUUUUUUUUUUAAUAAAAUCUAAAUUAUGGGUAAAACACCUUGGUUUAAUACAAUUUGUGUUUCUGUUAACUAGCAGCAGAAUUUCAGCAUUUGCUACUUACUGGUAGAGAAGAAAAAUUCCACAGAACUGCCAGUACAGGUUAGUUUAAUCUGUAAGUACCUGAUGUUCCUAUUUGAAAUAAUUUGUUCAAAUGAUACCACUUAAAUACCUGAGGGGAAUUUUGAUCUCUGAAAUGCAAUUGUUACUACUACUGAUUCCAGUAGUGAGUGAACAGAGUAGACUUUUUUGGAAAAUCUAUAAUGGAUUUAACUAUGCUUGUGGACAGGUAAAAAUAUCUGCAAGCACCUUUAAGGAAAAUUUAAUACAGAAUCUUGACAAGCAGCCUUUGAUGUUACUGAAGAAUGUGAAAAUCUGAAGUCAAAAUCAUGUGGUAACAUGCCAGUUAUUACUGAGGCUGUUUUUUACCAGCAAACCUGCAGGAUCCUGUGUUUGUUGUGUUGGGGAUUAAGCAUUUCUGUUUCUAAGAAUCCAUAUCAGUUUGUAAUCUUUCAGUUUUCUUUAGCUAUUGCUAAUUACCCUUUCUUACCCACAGAUUUUUACUUUGUUAGGCUGGUAAGCCAGGAGCUUUUUCUUCUGUGCUUUUUAAAUUACUUUUGUUGGUUCGUUUCAGCACUUCAGAGGCUGCCUACAAACAUGGUUUUGUCCAGCUGUUUUAUCUUACAUCAGAGUUACUGUCUGCCUCUUAUUUUAAUUCUGGCCUAUUCCAUCUUCCCAGAAAUUCUGGUAUUUUAUUUCUAUGGUGUGGAAUGUUUUAUACCUUAAAAUAGGAACGAUUCUUUGUGAAUGAACAAAAGAUGCAGCUUUCUCUGGAAUGGCUGCACACAUUUAUUUCUAUUUAGACUUUGUAUAUUUCAUCUCUGCGUACCAGUAGAAGAGAUGAAAACCUUUUCUGUGCUGUAAGCAUGAAGCAGAGAUCCACAGCUGGAUGAGCUGUAAGACUGUGCUUUAAUUCACUUUUGAGGCCAUGAUGUCCCACUCUGAAUUUGAGGGGCUUUUGUCAUCACUGGUGGGUAAUUACUUAGUCAGCACUGGGAAGGUCACAGUUAUGUGGUAGCUGAACAGACACUUGAGUUUUGCCAGCUCAUCUGAAGAGUCUAAGAGUGGGUUUAUGAGUGACUUGCCACUUCCAGCAGAAUUCUUGGUUUAGGGUUCCAAAAUCUUAAACAGUGCUGCAGAAUUCAUCAUAAAAACAUGCACGGUUUCAAGGCAAUUGUAGCUUCCCACAUUUUAGGAUAGUUACUCUUGCAGCCCAUUGCCUGUUAUCUUCUCUACAUCAGUUCUUGGUAAUUUACACUAAAUUGCUUUAUCUUCAAAAUGAGCUGCAGACAGAUUUCUGACUAAUGUUGCAUAGGUUUUUCUUCCUAGAAGGGGGAAAAGGGGGAGUCAUUAAUUAUAUACAAUAUACAUUAAUAUUUACAAAUUAGCUUUAUCUCUCUGUGCUUAAUCUUAAUUGCAGGUAUGCAGGAAUAAAAAGGAUACAUGUUGUGUGGUUAACCCUGUUAACAGAAUGUGUCUGUAUUUCUUACACCACCUGUGGUUGACCCUAGCUGAUGCUAGCAUUAAUGCAGUAUUCAGUAUGAAGCUGGAGUGAGUAAAUGCUGUUGGCUGCUCAAUUACCUUAUCAAGUCCUGGUUUUGGCAGUGGCUGCAUGCAGACCUGCACUACUUGUACACUGGUCUGGCAGUCAGUGGGGAUAACUAAAGGGCAGAGUGUGUUCCAUAUGGUCUUAACAAAAAAAAAGUGCAUUUCUCCAGGACAGAUGGUAGUAGAACUCUGGUAGAAAGACAUCUCUUUGUGACACUUUAAAAGGCAGUUACUUGUGGUACUUUUUGGGAGAAUAAAGUUUAUUUUCUUUUGAGAUAGGACCAAAACAAGACUGGAAAUCUGAACUUUGAUUACCAGGUAAACAGUGUUAAAUUGUAGCUCAACUUCUGACACCACUAGAGCAGCUGUCCAUUGUGAAGUGGUUAGCAGUCUUCCCUCACAGUUCUGGUACUGUGUAUUUGGGUUGUCAUUUCCCACUUUUUCCUUCCACUCUUUGCUGACUCCCAGUUGCCCUUUUUGAGUUUCUGGUCACCAUGCAGCAAACUCAAAAUGAGCAAACUCCAAGCUGGUUUUAGUACCUUCAUAAAGGACCUUGAAGCACCUGAGUGAACAGUGUCCCCUCUCGGUAGCAGUAUGGCCACAGAAGUUAGUGUCUUGUGAAGGGCUUUUUUCUGUAACUUAACUGAUACUGCUUUUGUGUUAAGUGGGAUGAAAGGGCUGGGAUUACUGAUCUUUUUCAAAAGACAGGUGGUGGCAAAAUACUGGUGUGGAAUUUAAUUCAAGAAAGUGAGAGACUGGUAAGUAUGUGCAUCACUUUAAUGCAUGCAAAUAAUAGUAACAAUAACAAGCUUAAUUUUAUAGCAUUCACUUUACAAAGAAGAUUAAAAGAAAAUGUGAAGCUGACAUGAUUUGCAUCCACUGGGAACCCUCUCUUGAACUGUUCUUGAGGAAUGGGUCAUUGCACACACAGCCAUCUGCAAUGUGUGACAUUUUGUAACAGUGUCUGAUUAAACAGAAGUGAACCAC